rnacentral:tRNA from 1 species
GGUGGGGUGGCUGAGUGGUCGAAAGCGGCGGUCUUGAAAACCGUUGAACCGCGAGGUUCCCAGAGUUCGAAUCUCUGCCCCACCGCCA